UCUUUCCUCUUCAUAGUCUUCUUCAUCUCGACACUCUUCAUUACAUUCAUCUCCUCCGUUUUUCCAACAACAAGCUUCAAGCUUUCCAAGCGGUGAUCUUCGACCCCAGAAAAGGAGGAAAAGAGGAUGAAGCGAGCCUUGGAAAUCACCAUAAUAUCCGCAGAGAACAUACGGCUCAACAAAAAGCCCGUGAAGAACGCGGUCGUGGCGGUCCGAGUGGAGCCAGGCCAUGAAUGCUCGACCAAACCGGCGCCGGACCAAGGAACAAACCCUCAGUGGAACGAGAAUCUCGUCGUUGACUUGCCGCUGCAUGCAGGCUUCAUUACCGUGGAAGUGAAGUGCAAGAGCUCGUCGGGUAGUUACAAGAUCGUCGGCGGAGUGACAGUACCGAUUUCGGACUUCGCCGGGGAUUUUGGCAGACCGGAAGGCUACGUGCACUUUCUGAGUUAUAGGUUGAGGGACUCUAAUGGCGUGCGGACGGAUGGCAUCAUUAACAUUUCAGCGAAAAUGGCAAAGCCGGCGCCGACACACAUGUAUGAGGUUCUGCAGCCGGAGAUCGGAGUGCCUGUCGGUGAUCAGAGGAAGAUGAUGGCGGCCGGCGGAUUGGUGACUGGAGUCCCAGUUUGGUACGCCCAGCCUUGUAGAUAUUGAAGCCAGAGCUGAUCUAACUAAGUUGACCUUUUGUGUCUAGACUGUUUUCUCUUGAGCUAACAUAACAAUGUAAACAAGAAAGUGAAAACCUAACAAAUGGGAACCCCAGCUGUUAAUGCAUUUGUUUAGAUCAUUACAUUGUACACAUGAACGAGGAUCAUUGGCAUGGAUAAGGCACAU